CCCUUUGUGACUACCUAUAACUGUUGCUUCGGCGGGUAGGGUCUCCGCGACCCUCCCGGCCUCCCGCCUCCGGGCGGGUCGGCGCCCGCCGGAGGAUAACCAAACUCUGAUUUAACGACGUUUCUUCUGAGUGGUACAAGCAAAUAAUCAAAACUUUUAACAACGGAUCUCUUGGUUCUGGCAUCGAUGAAGAACGCAGCGAAAUGCGAUAAGUAAUGUGAAUUGCAGAAUUCAGUGAAUCAUCGAAUCUUUGAACGCACAUUGCGCCCGCCAGCAUUCUGGCGGGCAUGCCUGUUCGAGCGUCAUUUCAACCCUCAAGCUCUGCUUGGUGUUGGGGCCCUACAGCUGAUGUAGGCCCUCAAAGGUAGUGGCGGACCCUCUCGGAGCCUCCUUUGCGUAGUAACUUUACGUCUCGCACUGGGAUCCGGAGGGACUCUUGCCGUAAAACCCCCAAUUUUCCAAAGGUUGACCUCGGAUCAGGUAGGAAUACCCGCUGAACUUAAG
rnacentral:rRNA from 1 species